rnacentral:tRNA from 1 species
GGCGCGUUAUCCAAGAGGCUAGGAGCCGGUCUGCAAAACCGUUAACGUCGGUUCGAAUCCGACACGCGCCU